rnacentral:rRNA from 1 species
CUCCGACCCCCAAACCCGGCCCGCACUCUUCAGGCGAAAAGACGGAAACGCCCCCCGCUCCACCCUGACUCGACCCCAUCCAUGGCUGGCGGCGGCGGCGGCGCGUCGCCGGCGCGGGACGGCGGGCGGGAGGAGUGGCUGCGCAUCUACGACCGGAUGGUGGCCGUCCUGCGGAAGAGCCACCGGGACGUGGAGGCGCUGCUCGCCGACCGCAAGCGCCUCGAGGCCGUCCUCAAGAUCCAGCACGACUUCUGGCUCCACCGCGACGCCGUCCUCCGGGACCGCCUCGACGAGACGCGGAGGGUGGAGGACUGCCUGCGGCGGGGCGACGCCGCCAAGCUCGACCUGCUCCUCGGCGACAAGGACCUCGAGGUGCGCCGCCACCGGAUCUACAUCGAACACCAAGAUGGUGACUUGGAGGAUUUCAAAAGAGAUGCAGCUGCUUUGGCUCAAGAAAACAAUGAAUUGAAGAUAAAACUGAAGGAAGCUGAAAGUUGUGCCGAGCUCAGCGAGCCAACUACAGACCCCGAGCACAGUGGAAGAGAUUUGAGAGCAGAGAUAAGGAAGCUAAAGAAAGCCUAUAAGGCCCUGAGCUCGCAGAAGGAGAGCGAGGUUUCCGCGUUACUCGCAGAAAAGGAUUUCGUGUGGAACCAGUACAAGACAAUGGAGAAGGACUACGAGACGCUCCUUAAGAAGAAGAAGAUGGAGGCAGCACAGGCUACUGAAGCAGCCGAGAAGCUUCAGCAGAAGGUGGAGGAGCUGCAACUGCAAGUGUCAGCCCAAAAGAAGGAUGACGAUGUUGGCAGAUUGCAAGCGGAAGCUAAUGAUGCCAAAAAGAAGGUGCUGGCUCUUGAGGAUAAGCUACAAAAAAUGCACUCCCUGGUCAGUGAGAAAGACGAUGAGAUCCAAAAACUCAAGAGUGGGCACCUUCAGGCUAGUCAAAAGCGGAAGAAGGAUAUCAGCGGGACACAUAGAAGAUCUAGGUCUGAAGGUCCAUCUGUACGGGGGAAGUCUAAAAGUAAUCCUCGGAGGCAAAUGGCAGAAGAAGAUCAACCCGAGACCAGUCAGAAGCGUCAGUGUGCCUCUUCGUUAUCAAGUGGACUGGCGCUCCGGCGCUGCUCCUCGAGGAUGACGCACCUGAAACCCGCGUCGUCGUCGUCGUCGCCUGCGCCCCAGCAGGUACUCUUCCACUCCAGUUUCAAGCUGCUGUUAGACCUCCAUGAUGGCUGUGUUUAGGUGUGUGGAGUUAGCGAUCAGGUUUAAUCUUUAUCGUGCGCCGCGCGCUCCCACUGGAGAGGCGGUGAUCGUGUUUUGUAACCUACAUCCUCGCCCUUAUUUUGAAGGCCCUUUUGUAACAUAUUCGCGGGCGCUGCGCGGAUGGAGAGCUCGCUGACCGGUGUAUGUAUGUAUGUGUGUGUGUGUGUGUGUUAACCAUGUGGUGGUGCCCUCGGGCCGGAAUUCGCGAGGUGUUUGAGAUGUGACCCGAACUCCCCUGAGUUAUGAGUGUGUGUUUCUGCGGUUGGUGUAUAAAAUGUGAAGUGGAAGUGUGAGAGGGCAUAAAUGUUCAUACUGUUGAUGAUUACAGGGGCAGAACCUUGUGUUUCUCUUUGGGAAAGCUGGUACUAGAAAUUUGAAUUUGCCCUUUGGCGAAUUUGUUUAGGGUUUUCGAUGGCCAAGUUGCGGUAUCGACAUAAAUGUGGGGAAAUUUACUUUGGAUGCCUGUGUCCUCCUGUAACCCAUUUGAGAGGAAUGUCAUACACACUUCAUGCUUUAUACACAGCAUUUCUGUUUGGGAAAAUUGGCACUUGUUGUUGUGCUUAGGCG